GCGGCAGUGGGGAUUAUUGGGCAAUGGGGGAAACCCGAACCCAGCAACCCCGUGUGAGGGAAGAAGGUUUUCGGAUUGUAAACCUCUGUCUUUGGGGGGAAAAAAAAUGACGGUACCUAAGGAGGAAGCUCCGGCUAACUACGUGCCAGCAGCCGCGGUAAUACGUAGGGAGCAAGCGUUGUCCGGAAUUACUGGGCGUAAAGAGUGCGUAGGCGGCGUGACAAGUCAGAUGUGAAAUACCCGGGCUCAACUCGGGGGGUGCAUUUGAAACUGUCAUGUUUGAGUCCAGGAGGGGAAAGGGGAAUUCCUAGUGUAGCGGGGAAAUGCGUAGAUUUUAGGAGGAACCCCAGUGGGGAAGGGGGCUUUUUGGACUGUAACUGCCGUUGGGGCUCGAAAAGGGGGGGGGCAACCCGGAUUAGUUCCCCUGGUAUUCCCCCCCGUUUCCAAUGGAUAUUAGGUGUAGGCAUUUUAAAUAUGUCU
rnacentral:rRNA from 1 species